CCUACGGGAGGCAGCAGUAGGGAAUAUUGGACAAUGGGCGAAAGCCUGAUCCAGCAAUGCCGCGUGAGUGAUGAAGGCCUUAGGGUUGUAAAGCUCUUUUACCCGAGAUGAUAAUGACAGUAUCGGGAGAAUAAGCUCCGGCUAACUCCGUGCCAGCAGCCGCGGUAAU
rnacentral:rRNA from 2 species